rnacentral:rRNA from 1 species
AUUGAACGCUGGCGGCAGGCCCAACACAUGCAAGUCGAGCGGAUGAAGGGAGCUUGCUCCUGGAUUCAGCGGCGGACGGGUGAGUAAUGCCUAGGAAUCUGCCUGGUAGUGGGGGAUAACGUCCGGAAACGGGCGCUAAUACCGCAUACGUCCUGAGGGAGAAAGUGGGGGAUCUUCGGACCUCACGCUAUCAGAUGAGCCUAGGUCGGAUUAGCUAGUUGGUGGGGUAAAGGCCUACCAAGGCGACGAUCCGUAACUGGUCUGAGAGGAUGAUCAGUCACACUGGAACUGAGACACGGUCCAGACUCCUACGGGAGGCAGCAGUGGGGAAUAUUGGGCAAUGGGCGAAAGCCUGAUCCAGCCAUGCCGCGUGUGUGAAGAAGGUCUUCGGAUUGUAAAGCACUUUAAGUUGGGAGGAAGGGCAGUAAGUUAAUACCUUGCUGUUUUGACGUUACCAACAGAAUAAGCACCGGCUAACUUCGUG